UGAGGAAUAUUGGGCAAUGCCCGAAAGGGUGACCCAGCAACGCCGCGUGGAGGAUGAAGGUCGUAAGAUUGUAAACUCCUGUUAGAGGGGAAGAAUAACUAAGUUUGGAGCUUAGUAUGACUGUACCCUCAGAGAAAGCCCCGGCUAACUACGUGCCAGCAGCCGCGGUAAUACGUAGGGGGCAAGCGUUGUCCGGAUUUACUGGGCGUAAAGCGCGUGCAGGCGGUCUCUUAAGUCUGGUGUGAAAGCCCGGGGCUCACCCCCGGAAGGGCACUGGNGACUGGGAGGCUAGAGUACCGGAGAGGAAGGUGGAAUUCCUGGUGUAGCGGUGAAAUGCGUAGAUAUCAGGAGGAACACCGGUGGCGAAGGCGGCCUUCUGGACGGCUACUGACGCUGAGACGCGAAAGCGUGGGGAGCAAACA
rnacentral:rRNA from 1 species